CAGGAUUGCUGCCUGGACACUAAAGCUACAAAUAAUACAAUGGGACCACAGUUCUAUUUUGUUAGUUUUCAGAACUGAGGCCAUGAUUAAGUGGGAUGGCCAGGGGCAUUCAUACUGCACCACUAGAGGUGAAAUUCUUGGACUGGUGCAAGAUGGACCAGAGCAAAAGCAUUUGCCAACAAUGUUGUUAUU
rfam:Oryctolagus cuniculus chromosome 1, whole genome shotgun sequence.